GAUGAACGCUGGCGGCGGGCCUAAUACAUGCAAGUCGAGCGAACAGACGAGGAGCUUGCUCCUCUGACGUUGGCGGCGGACGGGUGAGUAACACGUGGAUAACCUUCCUAUAAUACUGGGAUAACUUCGGGAAACCGGAGCUAAUACCGGCUAAUAUGUUGAACCGCAUGGUUCAAGAGUGAAAGACGGUUUUGCUGUCUGUUAUAGAUGGAUCCGGGCCGGAUUAGGUAGGUGGUAAGGUAAAGGCCUACCAAGGCGACGAUGCGUAGCCGGUCUGAUAGGAUGAUCAGGCACCAUGGAACUUAGACACGGUCCAGACUCCUACGGGAGGCAGCAGUGGGGAAUAUUGGACAAUGGGCGGAAGCCUGAACCAGCCAUACCGCGUGGGUGAAGAAGGGCUUCGGGUUGGAAAGCCCUUUUGUUUGGAAAGAAAAACAGCAGGAAAUAACCCCGCUGGUCUGACGGGACCCAAAGAAGAAGCACCCGCUAACUUCCUG
rnacentral:rRNA from 1 species